GACGUGGGCGACGCCUGGAUACGCCAGGCCGCGUGUGUGAAGAAGGUCUUCCGGAUUGUAAAGCACUUUAAGUUGGGAGGAAGGGCAGUAACUUAAUACUUUGCCGUUUUGACGUUACCGACAGAAUAAGCACCGGCUAACUCUGUGCCAGCAGCCGCGGUAA
rnacentral:rRNA from 1 species